rnacentral:RNase_P_RNA from 1 species
GAGGCGGGCGGUGGCAGUCGCCGGCGAUUUCGAUCGUCGGAGGAAAGUCCGAACUGGGCAGGGCACGGUGGUUGGUAACGCCAACCCGACGCAAGUCGAGGGAAAGUGCCACAGAAAAUACACCGCCUACGUCAUCACAUCAGUGGUGGCCGGUAAGGUUGAAAUGGUGCGGUAAGAGCGCACCGCACGGUUGGCGACAACCGUGGCAGGGUAAACCCCACCGCCAGCAAACCCAAGCAGCGGAAACCAGGCGGCCCGUCUGUUAAUGCCGCGGGUAGGGUGCUCGAGCCAACAGGCAACUGUCGGCCUAGAUGAAUGACCGCCCGCGAGAAAUCGCGAACAAAAUUCGGCUUACAAGCCCGCCUCGUCG